UUCUAAGAAUUGAAUGGGCCUGUAGCUCAGCUGGUUAGAGCGCACGCCUGAUAAGCGUGAGGUCGGUGGUUCAAGUC
rnacentral:tRNA from 1 species